rnacentral:rRNA from 1 species
GCAGCAGUGGGGAAUCUUACACAAGGGAGGCAAGCCUGAUCCAGCACAACCGCGAAACCAAGAAGCCGCUAGGCUGCGUGAGCGAUGAAUGCCUGAAGAUCGUAAACCCUCUAUCCCGGAGGGACUGACGGUACCUGAGAAUAAGCACCGCUACUUCG